CCCUUAGAUGUUCUGGGCUGCACACGUGCUACACUGGCAGGUUCAGCGAGCUUCAUGCCCUGAUCUGAAAGGAAUGGGAAAUCUUUUCAAAACCUGCCGUGCUUGGGAUAGAUGUUUGCAAUUAUUCAUCUUCAACGAGGAUUGCCUUGUAAGCGCACGUCAUCAGCGUGCAUUGAAUACGACCCUGUAUUCUGUACACACCGCCCGUCGCUCCUACCGAUUGAAGUUUACGGUGAGUUGACAGGAGGAUUUUUUUGAAACUGGUUCGCCAGUGGAUUUUAGAUCCAAAUGCCAACGAAUCGAUGGCUUUAGAGGAAGGAGAAGUCGUAACA
rnacentral:rRNA from 1 species